rnacentral:rRNA from 1 species
CGAUCCUACGGGGCGCAGCAGUGGGGAAUAUUGCACAAUGGGGGAAACCCUGAUGCAGCGACGCCGCGUGAGCGAAGAAGUAUUUCGGUAUGUAAAGCUCUAUCAGCAGGGAAGAAAAAUGACGGUACCCGAGUAAGAAGCACCGGCUAAAUACGUGCCAGCAGCCGCGGUAAUACGUAUGGUGCAAGCGUUAUCCGGAUUUACUGGGUGUAAAGGGAGCGCAGGCGGUGCGGCAAGGCUGAUGCGAAAGCCCG